UACGUAGGGUGCGAGCGUUAAUCGGAAUUACUGGGCGUAAAGUGUGCGCAGGCGGCCGAGCAUGUCGAGUGUGAAAGCCCCGGGCUUAACCUGGGAACUGCGCUCGAAACUACUUGGCUGGAGUGUGGCAGAGGAAGGUGGAAUUCCGGGUGGAGUGGUGAAAUGCGUAGAGAUCCGGAGGAACACCAGAGGCGAAGGCGGCCUACUGGGCCAGUACUGACGCUGAGACGCGAAAGCCAGGGGAGCGAACGGG
rnacentral:rRNA from 1 species